UAUACUCGCUUUCCCUCACAUCCAUUUUACGAGAAGGUUGGCGUUGUCUCGCGUCUGUUUUAAACAUUAUUGUAAGCAAUCAUGAGCAGAGACAGAGCUCCAAGGGUUUUUCUUGGUCGUCUACCUCGGGAUAUCAAGGAAAGAGACGUUGAGAAGUUUUUUCGAGGAUUUGGACGUAUCCGAGACAUAAAUUUGAAGAACGGAUUUGGCUUUGUGGAAUUUGAAGAUUAUAAAGAUGCUGAUGAUGCUGUUUACGAGAUGAACCACAAGGAAUUCAUGGGAGAAAGGAUUACAGUGGAACAUGCUCGUCCAACCUCAAGAAGUGGAGGUGGUGGAGGGGGCAGCGGUGGAGGAGGAGGGAGUGGAAUGAGAAGAGGUGGUGGAUUCAGGUUCCGAGACAGAUAUGGUGCACCAUAUAACACUGAGUACAAGUUGACUGUAGAGAAUUUGUCAUCUCGUGCAAGCUGGCAGCUACAGUAGUGGUAAGGUACUUUAUGGGAGCUUGGUUUAGGCAGAAAUCAAUUCCUGAUCUCUAACCUGGUCUGUGCGUAAAAAGGGGAAAAAUUAAUGGCCUUGGCAUAAAAUAUGACACUUGGCUUGCCACCUUAAGAUUGUGUAGAUCAUUCGAUUCCUGGUAUGGUUACUUGGUCAGUGGCCCUGUAUACUCUUGGCUGCACUUUUGGCCCAUUCAUCGAUAUCUGUUUUACAAGCUGAGAUGAGAUUCUGUAUGGCAUGAAGGCCUUGGUUAUCAACUGGGUUAAGUUUGAAGUUCUUGGUCUAAAUAGGUAGUUUUGCGAAGGAUCUGAAAGAUUACAUGCGCCAGGCAGGGGAGGUGACUUUUACCCAAUGCCACAGAGAUAGAAUAGGAGAAGGG
rnacentral:misc_RNA from 1 species